UGGCCGUAAACGAUACUCGCUAGGUGUCGGCCACGGCGCGACCGUUGUCGGUGCCGUAGGGAAGCCGUGAAGCGAGCCACCUGGGAAGUACGGCCGCAAGGCUGAAACUUAAAGGAAUUGGCGGGGGGAGCACAACAACGGGUGGAGCUUGCGGUUUAAUUGGAUUCAACGCCGGAAAUCUUUACCGGGACCGACAGCAACAUGAAGGCCAGGCUGAAGACUUUGCCGGAUUAGCUGAGAGGAGGUGCAUGGCGUAGUCGUGU
rnacentral:rRNA from 1 species